UGAUCCUGGCUCAGAAUCAACGCUGGCGGCGUGCCACAGACAUGCAAGUCGAACGAUUAAAGCUCCCUUCGGGGAGUGCAUAAAGUGGCGCACGGGUGAGUAACACGUAAGUAAUCUACCCUCGGGUGGGGAAUAACGUUCGGAAACGGACGCUAAUACCGCAUAAUGCAGCGGCACCGCAAGGUGACAGUUGUUAAAGAUUUAUUGCCUGGGGAGGAGCUUGCGGCAGAUUAGCUUGUUGGUAAGGUAACGGCUUACCAAGGCUACGAUCUGUAUCCGGUCUAAGAGGACGGUCGGACACACUGACACUGAAUAACGGGUCAGACUCCUACGGGAGGCAGCAGA
rnacentral:rRNA from 1 species